GGGCGCCACAAGCGCGGGGCUGAGCACUGCCGGUGCAACAUGUGAGAUGGCGCUAGUGUCGUCUCGUCGAUUAGCGUUUCGCGGCAAGAUCUAGCGCGGGCGCUUUUUGUUGGCCGCUCUCUGUCCUCGCGAGAUCGAGACGAUGGAAACGGAACGUUACGCACGCUCAGUUACGUUUAUCGUGUCCCUGAACGAAACAGAACAGCGACUAGCCUCAACAGAAAGCCUCUACUUCUACUGCAGCCACUUCUACAGAUGCUGCUGCCAACAAGCGCCUACAGCUGGUCCUGCUUGAGCAACGGCAAGGACGCGCGCUUAAAUGUUACUCUGUUAGAAAGAAAAGGGUGGCAAACGACAGACGACAGUAAAAGUAGUUGCUGUCAUUACUGACACUGAGCGUCCCUGCCGAUGCUGUUAACUUUCACCAAUCGACAAUGCAUUUGAUUGGGUCGAUCUCCUCUACCGGAGUUCUUUACCGCUGUGUUCUUUCCUCGGACCGGCAGCUGUAGCGGCGGCUGCAGCUCGAGCAGUAGAGGCUUAAGAACUGUCAGUGGACACUGUUGUGUCUGAUAGCGUUCACUCUGGCAAAUCGUACAGAUAUCGGUGUCCUUCUCGGUUAUUGUCGAUGUGCUGAUCCAAUCCCAGACACGUGAACGUAGUCAGAUCGCCAACGGCGGCGGCAGCCAAUGAAACGACAGAUACGACACGGCGGCAGUAAAACAACGACAGCAGUAGCUGCAGGAGUUCUGAAACAUCAACAGUUUUGAUCAGCAGCCCUUACUGCCUACGAGCUCCCUCUCCAACUUUCUCGGGGAGGAGCAGCUCAGACACACACACAACAAGCAGUGUUGCUUCUGUUGUUGCAGAAGACGACAACAUCGACCAGAACGUAAGAACACGGAAAGAAGUCAAUCGAGAAACCAACAGACCGACCGACGUCUGAUCUAGCACAGGGCUGCUGUUGUUACAAGCGGAACUGCAACUAAUAACUGAAGUUCUCGGAACCAUUAAUAGCCGUGGUGGCACCAACCACUCAGGGUCUAUCUAAGGCAAGACAUUUCUGAUUGUCUCUGAUCGACAGUGAUUCGUGCGCUUCGAUUAACAUGCUCCAGUGUGUUUGCAUGCAGAAAACUUAACUAGCUGUCGAAGAAAGUUGCUAACAACAAAUGCAGCGAAAACUUCACAGUAGUUUAUAGAGCGGUUCGUUAUAUUUUCGUGUCCUUCGGGAGUGGUACAUAUGAAAUAUGGUAGGUGAAUCAACGGCAAAACUUCCUACCUUGUGUUAGAUGUGGUUGACACUGAAAGAUUGAUUUCGAUGAUAGAACUUCUUGGGCGGACUAAGCUGGGUCACAGCUUGUGUGUGAAGUUAUUGUUGACAUACUGUAGUAACAACAUGGAUACGAGUGAACCAACAAGAUGUUGAGUUCAAAUACGUAAAUAGUGGUGAUGAAAGCUAACACGGAAAAGUACGGAUUUCUUUCGCUUGGGCGUCAUUGAUUGUCAGCCUGCCAUCGGCGUAGCUAGUGCUUAGUCUAUCUGCUCGUUCGAUAUGCUUUAAUGCUGUGUCUUCUAAAGCAUCAAAAGAUAGAUAUCAUCGCGCGCUGUGAGAUAAGCAAGCAAACCUAGAUAACACGACAAAGACAGAUCAAAUCUUACAAAUGAAGAGAUAUCAUCUGAAUCGAUCUACCAUACCGUGCUGAUCGAUGCCUUUGAGUGUGUCCAACCCUGUGCUGUGCUCACCAUUUAAAUAAGUUCAUCCAAGUACGUACGUAUAUUCCGUGCCGUGUUUUGACACUUGAAACCUUUGGAUAGCGACAAUAAGAGUUGAUCUGUCAACAGAGAAUAAACCCUUUGGCGACUUUCAACCAGCGCCGAAAAAGAUCCUGUGAAGAGAAUCUUCAUGUGAACAGCGACCAAUUGCAACUUGAUGCUGCCACCCUAAUCGCUCAAGCUGUGACAGCGCCAGAUUUCGAGAAUGCCUCGAAAAGUUUAUGCAGUGUGCGAUGAUGGAGGCCGGUGAAACUAUUAGGACUCGAUGCGAACAAUGCUACCCUGCGCUCAUCAGGCGUUUUGUCGCACAAAGCGACUGCAGCCUAACGCAGAUGCGUCGUACUGCCUGUGAAGGUUUAUCAGAAACAUUAUCAGUGGAAAGCGGAAGUGUGAGACGAAAGGAGGUUAACCUUUGUGCCCUCCACGACUCCUUGAAUUGGUGGCGGAGUCUAAAGGUGCAUGUUUUUGAGACAACUAGCUCAUUAUACUGAUAACUCAUAAAAUAGGUGCUUUCAAACAUCGAUAUCGGCUUUGUAGCCGUCGUCGACCCUAUAUUAUGUUCGUAACUAAAUAUGUGCACAUACUGUUACUUUUCAUUACAGCGUUGAACACAAUUAUUUCGAUACAUUUGUCCAUUACUAUGAAAUUAAGGCUAAUAGCAUUAUAGCGGUAGUGCUGCUUUUAAAAUCUCCCGUUGCCAUAUAUUUACCAGUUUGAAUAAAAGUGUCAAAGUAAUAAUAAGAAUAGUGAAAAAGUGCUAUGUUCUACUACCGCUAGGUGCGAUUGAAUAACA